rnacentral:rRNA from 1 species
GCCUGUUUAUCAAAAACAUGUCUUUUUGUUAAUAAUUUAAAGUCUAAUCUGCCCACUGAUUUAAAAUUGAAGGGCUGCAGUAUUUUGACUGUACAAAGGUAGCAUAAUCAUUAGUCUCUUAAUUGGUGACUUGUAUGAAGGAUUGGAUGAGAUAUAAACUGUCUUAAAAAUAUUUAAUUGAAUUUAAUUUUUUAAUUAAAAAGUUAAGAUAAAUUAAAAAGACGAGAAGACCCUAUAGAGUUUUAUAUUAAUUUAAAUUAAAAUUAUUUAUAAAUUUAUUAGUAUAAAUUUAAUUUUGUAUUUUAUUGGGGUGAUAUUAAAAUAAAUUAAACUUUUUUUAAAAAUUUACAUAAAUAAGUGAAUUAUUGAUCCAAUUUUAUUGAUUAUAAGAAAAAAUUACCUUAGGGAUAACAGCGUAAUUUUUUUUUUUAGUUCUAAUAAAAAAAAGAGUUUGCGACCUCGAUGUUGGAUUAAGAUAAAAUUUAA